CCCCAGAAGAGGGACAAUCACACAACUUACUUCCCACCCCAGCCCCAGGGCCUAAGAAAGGGGGCUUACUGGGGCUGGCCUAGAUGGAAGACAACAUCUAGUUCCAGAAGAAGCUACCUGAGGGGC